UACGGAGGGUGCAAGCGUUGUUCGGAAUUACUGGGCGUAAAGGGCUCGUAGGUGGCCAACUAAGUCGGACGUGAAAUCCCUCAGCUUAACUGGGGAACUGCGUCCGAUACUGGAUGGCUUGAGUUUGGGAGAGGGAUGCGGAAUUCCAGGUGUAGCGGUGAAAUGCGUAGAUAUCUGGAGGAACACCGGUGGCGAAGGCGGCAUCCUGGACCAACACUGACACUGAGGAGCGAAAGCCAGGGGAGCAAACGGG
rnacentral:rRNA from 1 species